GUUGUAUCCUAGAGGUGAAUUACAGAAAAUACAGACUAAAUACAUGCUAUUUAAUGGUGAACAAACAAGAGCAUUACUUGACUAAAUAAGCUGACGGAAGCCCCCCACUACUUGUAAAGAUACUCUUUAGAGCCUAUUGGCUAUUUCUACGAGGACUAGGCUGAAAAUUCUAUAGGAUUCGUGAAUUGGGCCGUCUAUGUAAGCACGAUUUUGGAUCAACCAAACUCCACCCAGCCUACAUCCCGUAGGAAGGGAAAAAGUUUUCUUUUUUUCUUUUUUUAAUCUUCUUGCAGCUGGGAUCUGAGCCGAGUUUGGAAGGCUCUUGAAAAUGAACAACAAGCGCGAUUCUUACAGAGUUUUCAGCCAAAUCGUGUAAGAAUAUCCAAUCAGUCUUUUAGAAUAUUUUUGCUUUAAUUAUUUACAAUAAUUAAAGCAAAAAUAAAUAAAAAAUAUUUUUUCCCUUUGAGAUCACGGCACUAAUCAAGUUUAGGCGCAGAUAACUCCGAAUCAUCAGAAAUUCCCGGCAGACACCUUCCAGAACACUCCAGCCGGGUUUGGUCAGGAAUCGCUGGCAGUUGGAAAUCUCAGUAGAGGAUUUGAUGUUAAUCUCCGUAACAUCAAAUAUACAAAAACCGUCCAAAUUUCAGUAGGGCCCACGCCAUAUACGGAUGAGGCAAACUCCACGUGUCAGUUGCUGGCCUUAUUAAUACCUAAACUCUAAAGCAGCCCAACAGCAAAUUCCAUUAUCUGGAUGGGGAGUGGAUAAAGAAGAGGAGAAUAUUCCAAGGAAAUGGUGGCGGUGGAGAGGGGUAC
rnacentral:lncRNA from 1 species